CAGAGGGUGCGAGCGUUAAUCGGAAUUACUGGGCGUAAAGCGCACGUAGUCGGCUUUGCAAGUCGGUUGUGAAAUCCCGGGCUCAACCUGGGAACUGCAUCCGAGACUGCAUUGCUAGAGUAUGGGAGAGGAAAGCGGAAUUUCUGGUGUAGCAGUGAAAUGCGUAGAUAUCAGAAGGAACAUCAGUGGCGAAGGCGGCUUUCUGGACCAAUACUGACGAUCAGGUGCGAAAGCGUGGGGAGCAAACAGGAUUAGAUACCCUGGUAGUCCACGCCCUAAACGAUGACAACUGGAUGUCGGGAGGGUUUGCCUUCCGGUGUCGUAGCUAACGCGUUAAGUUGUCCGCCUGGGAAGUACGGCCGCAAGGUUG
rnacentral:rRNA from 1 species